rnacentral:misc_RNA from 1 species
CCACGAACCAAACAAGCCCUUCAUGUCCAACAGCUAAAUUCUUUCGCUGUUGUGCUCCGGCCUCCAGCGAAAAGAUUGCGAGCCUUCAGGGAUAACGCGUCAUCAUACUGGGAGAUGAUACCUUUAUUUCCUGAAACAUGGUUAUCCAAGCACAAGGAAAAAGUUCCAGCAGUGAUUGCGACUCGCCAGCUCAAGGUUUUGCAAAUCUAUUUCGGUCGUAUUCCCUCUUUUUAUUUGUGUGCGCGCUACACCUGUGAAAGAACUUGUACCUCAUGUCAGGUGACUGCGGAAUCCAAGAUGGGAUCGAUGCUUCUACAGCUGCUUGAAGUUGUUCCACACCGCCCCCACCUUGGCCUUGCACAGCUUCUUUCCGCUGCCGGCAUCCACCUCGACAGUAAAAUGCAUGGUCCUGGCAUCACGUUCUGCACAUAUAUUAUACAUGGGAUGCAUCAGUGGUGGCUCCAACGAUAUCAACUAGGUUUAUGCAGAGUGACAUGUCUUUCGGUCUUGCUGUUGUGCUCCGUGACCGUGACUGAAGCACGCGAGCUCAAUGGCCUCGAGGUCGCUCUCACACCCAGUGGGUGCGUUUUGGACGUCGUCCACCAUCCCACAGGCCGUUCUCGUCUCGGCCAUGGCUGCUGGAGCCUGUGGAGAGGGAGAAAAGCUGUGCAGAGGGAGAAAGAGGAAGCUGCGGCGAGACGAGACAGACGACGACAGACACUCCUGAGUCCUGCUUGUAGUAGUAGAGCACCAACAACGGGCUAUUGCAUACCAUCAAUGGGCAGGUCUCCUAAUCUAGAAGUGAAUUUACUUUCUGCCAAUUCUUCCAUUAUCUGCUAUUGCAUAGCUUUUUCAUUACUUCACUUCAUUCUAGCUAAGGGGCAGUGAAAAAUUAUCUAUAUGGGCAGUGCAGAUUAGUAGUAAGUGCUUCUAAAACCUCAAGACCCGCCAAACGUCUCUGUUAAAUAUCAACUCCAUUCAUUGCUCGUAUCUGAAUGUUAAAUGUGCUUUUGCAGACUAUCUGUAGCGAGCCUCUAUGUCCUACAGGCUGGUUAGGACUGUCAUCUGAUCAUUGUUUCCUUGUGGAGCUCAUUCAAAUCCUGGUAUUUUUAUCCGAAAAAUAUCGCCCCAUGCGUAUAGACCUUCCUUCCAGUUUCACUGUCGGCCUCAGAUAUGUCAAGCUAUGAUUCUCUUCCAUGGUUAGAAUUACUGCGCUUUAAUAUUUGCUUUGCAUGAUUCACGAGUUUUUUUAAUUGUCUUCGUGCCCAUUGCACUUUUUUGAAACCUUCUCAGGAGCCAAUUUAAACCGUCUUGAUUGUUGAAGGUACCUCUGAAUUGCUCUCGUGUGC